rnacentral:rRNA from 1 species
UGGGGAAUCUUGCGCAAUGCGCGAAAGCGUGACGCAGCAACGCCGCGUGGGGGAAGAAGGCCUUCGGGUUGUAAACCCCUUUCAGGAGGGACGAAGGUGCGACGGUGAAUAGCCGCUCGCACUGACGGUACCUCCACAAGAAGCUCCGGCUAACUACGUGCCAGCAGCCGCGGUAAUACGUAGGGAGCUAGCGUUGUCCGGAAUCAUUGGGCGUAAAGCGCGCGUAGGCGGCCCGGUAAGUCCGUUGUGAAAGUCGAAGGCUCAACCUUCGAAAGCCGAUGGAUACUGCCGGGCUAGAGUCCGGAAGAGGCGAGUGGAAUUCCUGGUGUAGCGGUGGAAUGCGCAGAUAUCAGGAGGAACACCUAUAGCGAAGGCAGCUCGCUGGGACGGUACUGACGCUGAGGCGCGAAAGCGUGGGGAGCGAACAGGAUUAGAUACC